UACGUAGGGACCAAGCGUUGUUCGGAUUUACUGGGCGUAAAGGGCGCGUAGGCGGCUUAACAAGUCACUUGUGAAAUCUCCGGGCUUAACUCGGAACGGCCAAGUGAAACUGUCAAGCUAGAGUGCAGAAGGGGCAAUCGGAAUUCUUGGUGUAACGGUGAAAUGCGUAGAUAUCAAGAGGAACACCUGAGGUGAAGACGGGUUGCUGGGCUGACACUGACGCUGAGGCGCGAAAGCCAGGGGAGCAAACGGG
rnacentral:rRNA from 1 species